CUCGCAGGCUGCAGCUUUAUAAAGCAGAGGCCAGUGAAGGGAGAGUUGAUCAGGAACCAGGCACAGGGACAGGAGCACACACCAUGAUUUCACAUAUCCAGCUCAUCUGGCCCCUGGCGUUCUGCGUUGCAGGUAUCAGCGGGAACACCGUCAUGAACCAGUCACCCCCAGUACUGUCAGUGGGACUGGGCCAGACCGCAACCAUCACCUGUACAGCCAGCCAAUCUAUUAGCAACUACCUUGCUUGGUACCAGCAGCGAGAAGGACAGAAACCCUCUCUCCUGAUCUAUGAAGCAACAAAUCGAUUCACAGGAGUCUCUGAGCGCUUCACUGGCAGUGGAUCAGGAACCAGUUUCACCCUGACAAUCAGCAACGUUCAGAAUGAGGAUGUUGCUGAGUAUUACUGUCAAGCAGGUUAUGGCUACACCUAUACGUUCGGUAAAGGAACCAAGCUCAGACUGAGCCGUGACAGGUCUCAGCCCAAGCUGACCCUGCUGCCCCCCUCCCCGGAGCAGGUUCAGACCAAGGGCACUGCCACCCUGGUGUGCCUCGCCAAUCACUUCUAUCCUGAUGAGCUGGAGGUGCAGUGGAAGAAGGAUGGUGCAGUCAUUUCGGAUGGGGUUCAGACCAGCAACUACCUGCGAGCUUCAGACAGCACUUACAGUGUCAGCAGCCUGCUGACCCUCUCUGGCUCUGACUGGGAGUCCAACGCUCUCUUCUCCUGUGCUCUCACCCACGUCACCCUCUCCUCUCCCCUCAGCAAGAGCAUCAGGAGAUCAGAAUGUGUGUAGUGUGUUUGAGACAGUCCACAGAGGAGACACAACUUUAAAUAGAACGGGGCUGAGCUGGCAGGGCAAAGGCCAUUGUCAGCACGAUAUUUCAACUCUCUUCCUUCUCAGGACUGACUUGGAGACAUUUCUGAGGUUCAGGGGUUAAGGCAGGUCAUUGGGACAGUGUAGAGGGUGCUUUCCUCUGUAUCUAACCCCAUGCUGCCCCUGUCCUGGGAGUGUUUCAUGGGGUCAGUGGUGACUUGUGAUGACAAUUAAAACCUCUCAAAGUUGUGGAAGACUGUCAGCUGCUGAAAAGCAAUGUCAACCUCAGAAGUCUCUGCUUCAGUAAAGCAGAUCUCCUUCCUGCUCAGCCGUCAGUUCCAACUUAAGGUUUUGUCACUGUUUAAAGGGACUAUUGAAAAAGUCUCCACAGGUGUUUACCUUAAGUUCCAAUGUGGCUAUGAAUUUGUGCAGCUUCCUCUGUCUGGGCUGUUAAUUGCAGUCUUUUUUUCUGUAAAUGUCUAUCUGGAAAUGACAAUAAAGUUGAAGAACAUUCA